GAUGAACGCUAGCGGCAGACCUAACACAUGCAAGUCGAGGGAGAAGCCCUUUCGGGGGCAGAAACCGGCGCACGGGUGCGUAACGCGUAUGCAACCUACCUUUCACAGGGGGAUAGCCCGAAGAAAUUUGGAUUAAUACCCCAUAAUAUUAUUGGAUGGCAUCAUUUGAUAAUUAAAACUGCGGUGGUGAAAGAUGGGCAUGCGUCCUAUUAGCUAGUUGGAGUGGUAACGGCACCCCAAGGCUACGAUAGGUAGGGGUCCUGAGAGGGAGAUCCCCCACACUGGUACUGAGACAGGGACCAGACUCCUACGGGAGGCAGCAGUGAGGAAUAUUGGUCAAUGGUCGGAAGACUGAACCAGCCAUGCCGCGUGCAGGAAGAAUGCCUUAUGGGUUGUAAACUGCUUUUAUAUGGGAAGAAUAAGGCGUACGUGUACGUUGAUGACGGUACCAUAUGAAUAAGCAUCGGCUAACUCCGUG
rnacentral:rRNA from 1 species